rnacentral:rRNA from 1 species
AACGUAGGAGGCGAGCGUUAUCCGGAUUCAUUGGGCGUAAAGCGUGCGUAGGCGGUUGGGUAAGUCGGACGUUAAAGCCCCUGGCUCAACUAGGGGAGGUCGUUCGAUACUGCUUGGCUUGAGGAUGAGAGAGGAAAGCGGAAUUCCCGGUGUAGCGGUGGAAUGCGUAGAGAUCGGGAGGAACACCAGUGGCGAAAGCGGCUUUCUGGCUCAUUACUGACGCUGAGUGCACGAAAGCGUGGGGAGCAAACGGG